GAUGAACGCUGGCGGCGUGCCUAAUACAUGCAAGUCGAGCGAACAGACGAGGAGCUUGCUCCUCUGACGUUAGCGGCGGACGGGUGAGUAACACGUGGAUAACCUACCUAUAAGACUGGGAUAACUUCGGGAAACCGGAGCUAAUACCGGAUAAUAUAUUGAACCGCAUGGUUCAAUAGUGAAAGACGGUUUUGCUGUUACUUAUAGAUGGAUCCGCGCCGCAUUAGCUAGUUGGUAAGGUAACGGCUUACCAAGGCAACGAUGCGUAGCCGACCUGAGAGGGUGAUCGGCCACACUGGAACUGAGACACGGUCCAGACUCCUACGGGAGGCAGCAGUAGGGAAUCUACCGCAAUGGGCGAAAGCCUGACGAAGCAACGCCGCGUGAGUGAUGAAGGGCUUCGGAUCGUAAAACUCUGUUAUUAGUGAAGAACAAAUGUGUAAGUAACUAUGCACGUCUUGACGGUACCGAAUCAGAAAGCCACGGCUAACUACGU
rnacentral:rRNA from 1 species